rnacentral:rRNA from 1 species
AUUGAACGCUGGCGGCAGGCCUAACACAUGCAAGUCGAACGAGUGGCGGACGGGUGAGUAAUGUCUGGGAAACUGCCUGGGGGAGGGGGAUAACUACUGGAACCGGUAGCUAAUACCGCAUACCAUCAGAUGUGCCCAGAUGGGAUUAGCUAGUUGGUGGGGUAACGGCUCACCAAGGCGAAGAUCCCUAGCUGGUCUGAGAGGAAGACCAGCCACACUGGAACUGAGACACGGUCCAGACGCCUACGUGAGGCAGCAGGGGGGAAUAUUGCACAAUGGGCGAAAGUCUGAUGCAGCCAUGCCGAGUGUGUGAAGAAGGCCUUCGGGUUGUAAAGUACUUUCAGCGGGGAGGCGUUACCCGCAGAAGAAGCACCGGCUAACUCCGUGCCAGCAGCCGCGGUAAUAC